ACAGAGGGCCCGAGCGUUAAUCGGAAUCACUGGGCUUAAAGCGUACGCAGGCGGACAUGUAGGCAUUUUGUGAAAUCCCUCGGCUCAACCGAGGAAUUGCAGAGUGAACCACAUGUCUUGAGGCGAGUAGAGGCGGUCGGAACGAUAGGUGGAGCGGUGAAAUGCGUAGAUAUCUAUCGGAACGCCAAAGGUGAAGACAGGCCGCUGGGCUCGUCCUGACGCUGAGGUACGAAAGCGUGGGUAGCGAACGGG
rnacentral:rRNA from 1 species